rnacentral:rRNA from 1 species
AGCGAACGCUGGCGGCAGGCCUAACACAUGCAAGUCGAACGAACUCUUCGGAGUUAGUGGCGGACGGGUGAGUAACACGUGGGAACGUGCCUUUUGGUUCGGAAUAACUCAGGGAAACUUGUGCUAAUACCGAAUGUGCCCUUCGGGGGAAAGAUUUAUCGCCAUUAGAGCGGCCCGCGUCUGAUUAGCUAGUUGGUGAGGUAACGGCUCACCAAGGCGACGAUCAGUAGCUGGUCUGAGAGGAUGACCAGCCACACUGGGACUGAGACACGGCCCAGACUCCUACGGGAGGCAGCAGUGGGGAAUCUUGCGCAAUGGGCGAAAGCCUGACGCAGCCAUGCCGCGUGAAUGAUGAAGGUCUUAGGAUUGUAAAAUUCUUUCACCGGGGACGAUAAUGACGGUAACCGGAGAAGAAGCCCCGGCUAACUUCGUG